rnacentral:rRNA from 1 species
GAUGAACGCUGGCGGCGUGCCUAAUACAUGCAAGUCGAGCGAACGGACGAGAAGCUUGCUUCUCUGAUGUUAGCGGCGGACGGGUGAGUAACACGUGGAUAACCUACCUAUAAGACUGGGAUAACUUCGGGAAACCGGAGCUAAUACCGGAUAAUAUUUUGAACCGCAUGGUUCAAAAGUAAAAGACGGUCUUGCUGUCACUUAUAGAUGGAUCCGCGCUGCAUUAGCUAGUUGGUAAGGUAACGGCUUACCAAGGCAACGAUGCAUAGCCGACCUGAGAGGGUGAUCGGCCACACUGGAACUGAGACACGGUCCAGACUCCUACGGGAGGCAGCAGUAGGGAAUCUUCCGCAAUGGGCGAAAGCCUGACGGAGCAACGCCGCGUGAGUGAUGAAGGUCUUCGGAUCGUAAAACUCUGUUAUUAGGGAAGAACAUAUGUGUAAGUAACUGUGCACAUCUUGACGGUACCUAAUCAGAAAGCCACGGCUAACUACGUGCCAGCAGCCGCGGUAAUACGUAGGUGGCAAGCGUUAUCCGGAAUUAUUGGGCGUAAAGCGCGCGUAGGCGGUUUUUUAAGUCUGAUGUGAAAGCCCACGGCUCACCGUGGGAGGGUCAUUGGAAACUGGAAAACUUGAGUGCAGCAGAAGGAAAGUGGAAUUCCAUGGUGUAGCGGUGAAAUGCGCAGAGAUAUGGAGGAACACCAGUGGCGAAGGCGACUUUCUGGUCUGUAACUGACGCUGAUGUGCGAAAGCGUGGGGAUCAAACAGGAUUAGAUACCCUGGUAGUCCACGCCGUAAACGAUGAGUGCUAAGUGUUAGGGGGUUUCCGCCCCUUAGUGCUGCAGCUAACGCAUUAAGCACUCCGCCUGGGGAGUACGACCGCAAGGUUGAAACUCAAAGGAAUUGACGGGGACCCGCACAAGCGGUGGAGCAUGUGGUUUAAUUCGAAGCAACGCGAAGAACCUUACCAAAUCUUGACAUCCUUUGACAACUCUAGAGAUAGAGCCUUCCCCUUCGGGGGACAAAGUGACAGGUGGUGCAUGGUUGUCGUCAGCUCGUGUCGUGAGAUGUUGGGUUAAGUCCCGCAACGAGCGCAACCCUUAAGCUUAGUUGCCAUCAUUAAGUUGGGCACUCUAAGUUGACUGCCGGUGACAAACCGGAGGAAGGUGGGGAUGACGUCAAAUCAUCAUGCCCCUUAUGAUUUGGGCUACACACGUGCUACAAUGGACAAUACAAAGGGCAGCGAAACCGCGAGGUCAAGCAAAUCCCAUAAAGUUGUUCUCAGUUCGGAUUGUAGUCUGCAACUCGACUACAUGAAGCUGGAAUCGCUAGUAAUCGUAGAUCAGCAUGCUACGGUGAAUACGUUCCCGGGUCU